rnacentral:rRNA from 1 species
GGGAGCCGGAGGGAAACCGAGUCUUAACCGGGCGUUAAGUUGCAGGGUAUAGACCCGAAACCCGGUGAUCUAGCCAUGGGCAGGUUGAAGGUUGGGUAACACUAACUGGAGGACCGAACCGACUAAUGUUGAAAAAUUAGCGGAUGACCUGUGGCUGGGGGUGAAAGGCCAAUCAAACCGGGAGAUAGCUGGUUCUCCCCGAAAGCUAUUUAGGUAGCGCCUCGUGAAUUCAUCUCCGGGGGUAGAGCACUGUUUCGGCUAGGGGGCCAUCCCGGCUUACCAACCCGAUGCAAACUGCGAAUACCGGAGAAUGUUAUCACGGGAGACACACGGCGGGUGCUAACGUCCGUCGUGAAGAGGGAAACAACCCAGACCGCCAGCUAAGGUCCCAAAGUCAUGGUUAAGUGGGAAACGAUGUGGGAAGGCCCAGACAGCCAGGAUGUUGGCUUAGAAGCAGCCAUCAUUUAAAGAAAGCGUAAUAGCUCACUGGUCGAGUCGGCCUGCGCGGAAGAUGUAACGGGGCUAAACCAUG